rnacentral:rRNA from 1 species
UACGAAGGGGCUAGCGUUGUUCGGAAUCACUGGGCGUAAAGCGCACGUAGGCGGAUUGCUAAGUCAGGGUGAAAUCCUGGAGCUCAACUCCAGAACUGCCUUUGAUACUGGCGAUCUUGAGUCCGGAGAGGUGAGUGGAACUGCGAAGUGUAGAGGUGAAAUUCGUAGAUAUUCGCAAGAACACCAGUGGCGAAGGCGGCUCACUGGCCCGGUACUGACGCUGAGGUGGCGAAAGCGUGGGAGCAACAGG